GAGUGAAAAAAAAAAAGGGGGGGCCUUGUUAAAACAAGAAAAAAGAAGAAGAAAAAAGAAAUCUUGGACUGAGAAAAUCUGCAAAUAAGCACAUUUGGCUUUUUCCACUGGAACAUUUGAAAGUCAAUUUUACAUCAGAGUGGAUCCACAUUGAAUAUUCCUGGCGGUUAUUUCCAACCUUUCCAUCAUUAUUUAAAGUGUAUCUUUCCAAAAAUUCUCUUUAGUCUAAUAAUAUUAGCUUUGCCAAUAAGUGGUUUCAUUUAUUAUACUCCAAUAGUGCUUUUUCUCUAUGUUAUUCGCUAUAUUAUACAAAAAAUUAUCUAUGUUUUUGUUAUUUAAAAUUAUACAAAUGGUACAUCAAGAGAAUAUUCAACAUUGUAUGUUUUGAAGAGAUGAUUGGUGAUCAGCAAUGUUUUGUGCCUUGUAGGGGUUAUUGUGGCUUUAUCUGAUUCACGUGACUUCUAACUAUUAUCUUAUUUCUCUCCUGGAUGCAGAUACAUAUAUAUACAGGAUCUAGUAAGAUUGCUGUUGUGAAAAUGUAUUCUGGGUAUGUGGCCACAAUGUGAGUUGUAGGAUAGAGCAACCGGUGGAACAAGAUAACUGCUUCCCCCUGAAACAGCCCUAUUUAGGAAUGCUGACCAGAUUAUAGGGAACUCAACCAGUCCCUUUAAGUAGAAAGUAAAUAGAUUAGGAAAACAGCCAGGAGGUUUGACACACCACAGUGACUUUUUCCCCCUUUCCCUUUUAUUUGCAUGGUGUAAGAGAAUAGACAGCAUGCAUUGCAAGAUCUGCCUUGUCUUGCUGCCACCCUGGACUGCCUCACAUGUAAGUUCCCCCUGAAUAAAUCUUUGAUGACCUCCCA